UGGGGAAUAUUGCACAAUGGGCGCAAGCCUGAUGCAGCCAUGCCGCGUGUAUGAAGAAGGCCUUCGGGUUGUAAAGUACUUUCAGCGAGGAGGAAGGGGGAGUGGUUAAUAACCAUUUUCAUUGACGUUACUCGCAGAAGAAGCACCGGCUAACUCCGUG
rnacentral:rRNA from 1 species